CGUAACGCGUAUGCAACCUACCUUUUACAGGGGGAUAGCCCAGAGAAAUUUGGAUUAAUACCCCAUGGUAUAUUUGAGUGGCAUCACUUGAUUAUUAAAGUUCCAACGGUAAAAGAUGGGCAUGCGUCCUAUUAGCUAGAUGGUAAGGUAACGGCUUACCAUGGCUACGAUAGGUAGGGGUCCUGAGAGGGAGAUCCCCCACACUGGUACUGAGACACGGACCAGACUCCUACGGGAGGCAGCAGUGAGGAAUAUUGGACAAUGGGCGCAAGCCUGAUCCAGCCAUGCCGCGUGCAGGAAGACGGUCCUAUGGAUUGUAAACUGCUUUUGUACGGGAAGAAACACUCCUACGUGUAGGGGCUUGACGGUACCGUAAGAAUAAGGAUCGGCUAACUCCGUGCCAGCAGCCGCGGUAAUACGGAGGAUCCAAGCGUUAUCCGGAAUCAUUGGGUUUAAAGGGUCCGUAGGCGGUUUGGUAAGUCAGUGGUGAAAGCCCAUCGCUCAACGAUGGAACGGCCAUUGAUACUGCCAGACUUGAAUUACUGGGAAGUAACUAGAAUAUGUAGCGUAGCGGUGAAAUGCUUAGAUAUUACAUGGAAUACCAAUUGCGAAGGCAGGUUACUACCAGUGGAUUGACGCUGAUGGACGAAAGCGUGGGGAGCGAACAGGAUUAGAUACCCUGGUAGUCCACGCCGUAAACGAUGGAUACUAGCUGUUCGGGGC
rnacentral:rRNA from 1 species